AUACAUGUGCAUCAGAGUACAUCAUUGAUGAAUACAAUCAUCUGGCUUAGCCAUAAGGCUAGAAAAUAACAGCGGAAGUCUAUUAAAAUGGCGGCGGAUGUCUUGGUUUGACAGCAUAACAACUCUGGCUGGGCUCCACAACUCACAGGACUGGCAAGAUUACGGCCUAGCACGACGGAUCAACCGAGCAAUACGGGUACGACCUACAAAACUGGCAUGACACGCCAGGUCAGUACAUUGAAUGUACUUGCAAGACAACCAAAUACAUAGCAUCCAAACAAGCAGAAGACAAAGCAAGAACCGAGCGCAUGCAACACCCUAUCUCAUAUCAAUUACUAAACAUGGCAUGAUAAAAAUCAACUAAGCAUGAACAAAAUCAUAACAUCUACUAACAUGGCAAUGACAUGGCAUAUCAGAACAUGAUUAUAACAUUGUAAUAGCAAAACAUAGAAUUUUAUCUCAAUCAUGGCAUAACUUAACAUGUCAAUCAAAGCAUAGCAUGGCAUCAAGAGACUAUGCUGAAAAUAAACUACCAAUAAUAUCCAAUGCAGACAUAGCAUGUUAACAUUAUGCAAUCAUCUUCUGUUCUAUCAUGGUUCUUCAAAUGCAAAUAAUGAUAUAUUAUUCCAGCAAUGUAACCAAACUUGUGCACCGAGUCCCUCAGACUCUCUUAUCAACUGUGAUCAUCUCUGGAACACAAACACACCACCAAAGUGGUCUUUCUCAAGAACAACUCGUGAUCCUUACGGCGAUCACAACCACGACCAACACUUGGUCUCCAACCGUGAUUCUUACGGCAAUCACAACCACGACCAAUAUUUGGCCCGUGAUCCUUACGGCGAUCACAACCACUUAUCUCAUCAUCAAGAUAUCGUCGUGACUCCUCACGACAAUCUCAUAGUUCAAGUUACCAUAUUCUUGUUAUCACAUAUUUAUUUACCAAUUUAAUUAUUUCAGGUUUAUCCUCCAUUUCGACCAAGACCUGAUAGUGGGACCUACUAUGAACUGUUGCUAUCGAUAGACUUUAUACACUCCGCAGAGGUAGCACACUGUACCCACAUCACGGAACCCAUGGCCUCGGCAUCCCAUUUGGGUGGACCAACGGCAUUCCGGUGAAACCAACCUACUGCCAUGACGCUCUCCCGGCCACUCCGACCCAAUCCCCAACGGGUUGGUCCUGGGUGGCCCCGUGUCUACCAAAGACACCCCGACCACCGUCGUGGUCACCUCCCACUCGGGGACACUCCCACUCGGGGAUUGGUACCAAAAAUCUCAAAAACGAGAACACAAGGUUAUGUCCGCUUAUCUGAUCUGGGUAAGCACGCCCAUAACCUUCCCUAGUGGGAGGCACCGGCGAGAGGUCACGACAAUAGCUCGCAUUAAGGCCUUCCCACAAAGGCAAAUGUGGCUGCACUGAAAAAGUUCGAUUUGGUGGCACUAUGCCUCGAUCCCAUCGAUGACGGAGGAGGUUUGUUAUUAUUAAGUCAUUUUAUUUCCUUCUCCAUCAUCAUGAACAUAUUUAACACGAGUGCAACAUGCCGCAUACAAAUGCACGAACAAAAUAUUGAACUCCUCAAGUGCACAACUAUAACAUAAAGGACACGACAAUAGUAUAUCAACGGUGCAUUACAAUCCUCAUAACAGUUUAUAACAUUAACAUGCAAAUAAAGUAGAGUAGUGGCAUGCAUUAUUAAUAAUAACAUUCUAAUUAACAUGGCAAAGGUAUCAUGAAACACAAGCAUGCAAGAUAGGCAUAAAGAAAUAAUUGCCGAUGAAAAUGAUAUAAAACAACUGCAACUACACACACACACAAGGUGCAAGCAAAGUCAACAUGCAAGUUCGGGGCUCAUGAUAAGAGGUUGGCUUGCCUGGGGGUCGACAAAGACUCCGGGAAUAAGUGCGAAAUGAUCGCGAAAAGAUUUGCCGGAAACAGUUCCUUCUCGGAGGGGGCUGUUUACGGGCAAGGGCAAAAACGUCAUUUUCACUAUGUGAAAAUAUUAUGGAAAUGAUAUCAACGGAACGGGCUCGACGAAACAAAGACGUGGGCUUUGGAAUCACCUGAUUCGAAGCUAC
rnacentral:lncRNA from 1 species